AUACGUAGGGGACGAGCGUUAUCCGGAUUUAUUGGGUUUAAAGGGUGCGCAGGCGGCCAUUUAAGUCAGCGGUUAAAUCGUGGGGCUCAACCCCAUUCUGCCGUUGAUACUGGGUGGCUUGAUUGCGGUCGAGGUUGGCGGAAUUCGUUGUGUAGCGGUGAAAUGCAUAGAUAUGACGAAGAACACCGAUUGCGUAGGCAGCUGACCAGACCGCAAAUGACGCUCAUGCACGAAAGUGCGGGGAUCGAACAGGAUUAGAUACCCUGGUAGUCCGCACAGUAAACGAUGAAUACUUGUUUUCGGCGAUAUAAUGUCGGAGGCAAAGCGAAAGCGAUAAGUAUUCCACCUGGGGAGUACGCCGGCAACGGUGAAACUUAAAGGAAUUGACGGGG
rnacentral:rRNA from 1 species